GAUGAAGAACGUAGCGAAAUGCGAUAAGUAAUGUGAAUUGCAGAAUUCAGUGAAUCAUCGAAUCUUUGAACGCACAUUGCGCCCGCUAGUAUUCUGGCGGGCAUGCCUGUUCGAGCGUCAUUUCAACCCUCAAGCACAGCUUGGUGUUGGGACUCGCGUUAAUUCGCGUUCCUCAAAUUGAUUGGCGGUCACGUCGAGCUUCCAUAGCGUAGUAGUAAAACCCUCGUUACUGGUAAUCGUCGCGGCCACGCCGUUAAACCCCAACUUCUGAAUGUUGACCUCGGAUCAGGUAGGAAUACCCGCUGAACUUAAGCAUAUCAAUAAGCGGAGGA
rnacentral:misc_RNA from 1 species